rnacentral:rRNA from 1 species
AAUACAUAGGUAUGCAAGGCGAACGCGGCGAACUGAAACAUCUAAGUAGCUGCAGGAAAAGAAAUCAACCGAGAUUCCCAAAGUAGCGGCGAGCGAAAUGGGAAGAGCCUGUACGUGAUAGUCGGACUGAUAGAAGAAUCCUCUGGAAAUAGGAACCGUAGCGGGUGAUAGUCCCGUAUUCGAAAUCAGACCGGUGAUACUAAGCGUACGACAAGUAGGGCGGGACACGUGACAUCCUGUCUGAAUAUGGGGGGACCAUCCUCCAAGGCUAAAUACUCGUAAUCGACCGAUAGUGAACCAGUACCGUGAGGGAAA